UCGUCUAGUGGUCCAGGACGCAACCUUCUCAAGGUUGAGAUCACGGGUUCGACUCCCGUACGCGGU
rnacentral:tRNA from 1 species